UACGAAGGGGGCUAGCGUUGUUCGGAAUCACUGGGCGUAAAGCGCACGUCGGCGGAUUUGUAAGUCAGGGGUGAAAUCCCGGGGCUCAACCUCGGAACUGCCUUUGAUACUGCAAGUCUCGAGUCCGGAAGAGGUGAGUGGAAUUCCUAGUGUAGAGGUGAAAUUCGUAGAUAUUAGGAAGAACACCAGUGGCGAAGGCGGCUCACUGGUCCGGUACUGACGCUGAGGUGCGAAAGCGUGGGGAGCAAACAGG
rnacentral:rRNA from 1 species